CGUGCCGUCGUACGACCUUAUCCCCUUUCUCGUUUGUAUCGAUUUGGCAGAGCCGAGUGAAUCGAGCUUUGCCUGUGAGCUUGUUCUGCGUUAUGAAGUGCUGCUGUUGUUGACUCUGAGAUUUGCAGUGUGCCGUAAUCGUGUCGAGAAUGUAAUGAUGCAGGAGCAGCUUGACUUUGGGAGUAUCCAUGGUGUUGUCAAGGAAUCACGAAAUAUGUUGAAUUGUGGGUUUCAUAGAGCAUCGAUGGGAGGAGUCGCCGACGAGAUUCCCCAGGAAUUUUAGCUACUGCUGGGUCGUAAUUUGGCGCAGGGUCUGUGGCGUGUGGGAAUGCGGGAGUAGUGUCAAGUUCUGAUUUUGUUACUCAGGCGUUAGACGUGACCCGAUUGUUGUCCGGCUGUGGUGAUUUUCACUAACGGCUUUCAAAAUGCCGGACCGAACACCGAACAGGUCGAUCGAGAAUGAUUUAGAGGUGGCGGCGCCAUCGAUAUCUGCGAUAGCGAAGGGUGGUGGAGUUUCUUUAGCUCGCAAUUUAUUAUCGCAUACCGUAAAUGUUCGUCCUAAAUUAUGGGAUGACAAGUACCCACCUGCCAAAAUAUGGAUUGGGAGAAUAAAAUCGUAUCAAUUGGCACAGUGCACUGCAGAUGCUGUUUUCUACUACACUGGGGGCUACCCUUUUCAUUUUAGAGAUGCUAAUUGGAACUUUCCACCUCUUCACUGUAUGGGCAGAUACGGUCAGCCUGAAGUGCUUAGUAGCAGAGAGAUGUGCUUGGAGUACGUCGAGUAUAUUGCCAAAAGUUUAGCUUUUAGACCCCAUAGAUUUGAUUUUAUAAAUCAGGUCAAAGCUGUGCUUGCGAGCCCUGCAUAUCUCCACCAGAGAGCGGAAUUUUUGGAAUCCUUGAAUGAAGCACACGGUGCUCCUGCAGCUCCAGUGGAUCAGUUAGCCGACACGGCAAACCAACCUCCUCCAGAGAAUGAUGAUGCGAACUAUCAUGAUUGGAGGGAAAUGGAAGUGGAGUGUAACUUUAUGAUGAGUUCUGAAAUACCCCCAUCCAGCGAAGCGAAAUACAUUGCAAGUUUUGGAUUUGAUUUUGACAACAAACUACAGAGUACGUGGGAGAUACCUUAUGUUCCGUGGAACGCACAUGAUAAGAAGAUGGAAGAUCCCAGUACUUCCUCAGCCUUCGCCGACUCUUUCGUCCCGCCGCCCUCUGAAGGUCAUGGAUUUGACUUGGAGAACAGUCUGCAGAGUACGCGAGCCACCUCUCAUGUUGGGCGUAACGGAUUUGAUGAGAGGACGGAAGAGCCUAGUACUUCCUCUGCCUUGACCGACAUUUUCAUCGCCUCAGUCCUGGUCACUGAAGAUGAGGACCUUUGGAACUUGGAGAUGUAUCCGCCGGAGGCUAUGGCUACCAGCAAUGACUUUGUAUCGAAUAUACUUAACGAUUUAAUGGUGAUGUCUGCUUAUACUUUGUGACCCGGUAUGUACUGCAGCUUCGGAUCAGUUUGAAGCGGAGCAAUGGAGGUUCCCAAACGAAUCAGAUUGGAACUUGAUCUCUCCGCUACCCCACAUUUUGCAGUGCGCAACCCGUCAGUAAUUCAUUUUUGAUGUGCAGCUGCCCCUUUUUGCAUUAUCUUAUGGCUGCUGGUGGAGUUAUCCUUCAGUUCGAUGAACGUUCCACUAGGUUAUUUCACUGGAUUGAAAUCAACCUCGGCGAGAAAAGCGGUUCUCGAAUACACUUAUUGAGUAUAGAUUGUACAUCUGCGUCAGCAUCUGAUUUCUUUGUGAGCGGCACCCAAGUUAUCCAGUUGUAUAUAUGCAGCUAUUGAGUUGCCGUGGUGAUGGUAGUAGUCGUCGUUGCAGUUCAACCAAAGAAUGUUGCAUCUGCACAUGAUUUGAAGUUAUACUUUUCCUAUAUUGAUGCCAUAGACCCAAUGAGCUUCCACUAUCAAUUGAACGCUGGAUUCCUUUGGGUGGUCUUUCUUCAACAGAAAGACUCAGGAAAAGACGUUUGCUGCUCAUAACGACCAUCGUACCAUGUAGAUUCUUGUGAAAACUGUAAUACCUUAUUACUAUUGAGCUCCCUCAUUUUAGUUUGUUUGGGACUGAGACCUGAUCACAUGGCUUAAAAUUC